UCCGGGGCGACCCGGAAUCUGAAGGAAGCUGUAAGCAAAGUCCCGGCCCGACGAACAGGAAUCGCAUAUGAGGCAGCCACAUCUGGGCGAGAGGGCUAAGAGACUCAAAACCCGAUUACCAUCCGGAAGGUGUGGAAGUAGAUGCGGCGGGUGUAUGGGAUGAAGGUCACGCGA
rfam:Geobacter uraniireducens Rf4, complete genome.